GCGGAGUUCCACAAGUCAGUCAGCAAGGCGAGCCGCGCGGAGCUGCUGCCACGCGAUUGGCCUCGAAACUUCAGCCUCCACCUCGGCACUGUCUGGUACUUUAAGACUAUGAAAGAUUUUGUUUUCUAAGGAAAUGUGUUGUUCACCACGGAUCUAAUAGCAUAAGCCGGUUGUCUUAAAGGGUUGGACACAAGCUACAAAUCAUAUAAACUCCACAAAAUAUGAGGAAGCCUUGGUCCAGAGAGAAUACGUGAUGUGUCUAGGUCAUACCACCCAUGCGGGAGGAGUCAAUAUUUAAACCCAGAUCUACUUGAUUCCAGAACUGGAACAUCUAACUGCUGGGCCACACUACCAUAGAUGCGUCUUUCUCUUUGGUUGACUCAGUGCUAUUUGUGUCCAGUCAACACUCAAAAUCUUUCUCUCUGGAUACUGUGUCCAAAAUAAAUAAGAAAUCUCUCUACUCCUGAGGCUUGAGUCUUGCUCUUUUCCGCCCUCUCACCCUUGGCAACU